rnacentral:rRNA from 1 species
GGAUAACCUGCCCUAUCGUCUGGAAUAACCUCGGGAAACUGAGAAUAAGGCCGGAUAGUUCACAAAGCCUGGAACAGUUUGUGAAUCAAGGUAGGAUGGGUCUGCGGCGUAUCAGGUAGUAGGGGGUGUAAAGGACCCCCUAGCCUUCGACGCGUACGGGUGUUGGGAGACAUAGCCCGGAGAUGGAUUCUGAGACACGAAUCCAGACCCUACGGGGUGCAGCAGGCGCGAAAACUUCACACUGCAGGAAACUGUGAUGAGGGAACUCCAAGUGUGUGCACUAUGUGUACACUUUUAUGAACUUUUAAUCGGUUCAGGAAUAAGGGCUGGGAAAGACCGGUGCCAGCCGCCGCGGUAAUACCGGCAGCUCAAGUGGUCGUCGCUUUUAUUGGGCCUAAAACGUCCGUAGCCUGUUUGGUAAAUCUGUGGGUAAAUCAACUCGCUCAACGAGUUGAAUUCUGCAGAGACUGCCAGACUAGGGACCGGGAGAGGUGUGGGGUACUCGAGGGGUAGGGGUAAAAUCCUGUCAUCCUUCGAGGACCACCAGUUGCGAAGGCGCCACACUGGAACGGAUCCGACGGUCAGGGACGAAGCCUAGGGGCACGAACCGGAUUAGAUACCCGGGUAGUCCUAGGUGUAAACGCUGUGAACUUGGUGUCGGGGGUCCGCAAGGGGUCCCCGGUGCCGGAGUGAAGAUGUUAAGUUCACUGCCUGGGGAGUACGGUCGCAAGGCUGACACUU